rnacentral:rRNA from 1 species
UCUUGACAAACAUAAGAGGUCCAGCCUGCCCAGUGACCCAGUUCAACGGCCGCGGUAUCCUAACCGUGCGAAGGUAGCGUAAUCACUUGUUCUUUAAAUGAGGACUAGUAUGAAUGGCAUCACGAGGGUUACACUGUCUCCUUUUUUUAAUCAGUAAAACUAAUCUUCCCGUGAAGAAGCGGGAAUAUUACUAUAAGACGAGAAGACCCUAUGGAGCUUUAAACAAAUUAACACUUGCUGCCUAAGGUAACUUUUCCAGAAACACAACACACAGCAUAGCAUGAUGAUUAAUAGUUUUCGAUUGGGGUGAUCACGGAGUAAAAAAUAACCUCCAUGCCGAAAGGGCUCCUCCCUGAGCAAAAAGCUACGACUUUAAGCACUAAAAAACUAACGUAUAUUGACCCAAUACUUUGAUCAACGAACCAAGUUACCCUAGGGAUAACAGCGCAAUCCACUUCAAGAGCCCCUAUCGACAAGUGGGUUUACGACCUCGAUGUUGGAUCAGGGUAUCCUAGUGG